AUUGAACGCUGGCGGCAUGCCUUACACAUGCAAGUCGAACGGUAACAGGUCUUCGGAUGCUGACGAGUGGCGAACGGGUGAGUAAUACAUCGGAACGUGCCCGAUCGUGGGGGAUAACGUGGCGAAAGCUUUGCUAAUACCGCAUACGAUCUACGGAUGAAAGCGGGGGAUCUUCGGACCUCGCGCGGACGGAGCGGCCGAUGGCAGAUUAGGUAGUUGGUGGGAUAAAAGCUUACCAAGCCGACGAUCUGUAGCUGGUCUGAGAGGAUGAUCAGCCACACUGGGACUGAGACACGGCCCAGACUCCUACGGGAGGCAGCAGUGGGGAAUUUUGGACAAUGGGCGAAAGCCUGAUCCAGCCAUGCCGCGUGCAGGAUGAAGGCCUUCGGGUUGUAAACUGCUUUUGUACGGAACGAAAAGCCUCUUUCUAAUAAAGAGGGGUCAUGACGGUACCGUAAGAAUAAGCACCGGCUAACUACGUG
rnacentral:rRNA from 1 species